UUGUAUUUCAAGCAAAGCAUUAAGAUGAUCAUAUUCUGCUGUUAGAAGAGUUGGGUAGCAACAGUGUAAAGAGAACUGCAGAAGGGCAGGCUGUGGGAGUGAGAUGAUGGAGAAAACUACUGCUAUGGUCUAGGCAAGACAAGAGAAGAGGAUGAAUUAUGGCAGGGAGAUGGAAAGUGGGAAUGCUAUUUCUCAAGCAGAUUUGCAAAACAUGCUAGGAUAUAAGUGAGAUAGAUUAAAGAGACUAGGAUGAUAUGCAAAAAUCUGAGUGAUUGAUAGCAGAUAACCAUGAGAAAGCAUAUAUAAGAUGAACAGAUUUUUGUGAAAGAAGAUGAAGAAUUUGAGGCGUGUGAGGGAUAUUUAAGGGAAAAUGUUCAGAAGACAUUAUGUGUAUGGUCACAGGGCUCAGAGAAGAGUGUAGGCUGAAGGUUCAAAUUUGGGAGUCGUCAGCAUAUAGGCAGUAAUUAAUAUCAAGGCAGAGGAUGAGGUCACCAGAAAGAGGAGAAUGGUGGUUUAGAAUGAAGCAUCAGACAAUACUAAGAUUUAAUGGUAAAUAAAAAGCAAAUCUGCAAGAAAGAGUUCAGUCAAGUAGAAGGAAAACUAGAAGAGACUGGACACAGGAACUAGGGAAACUUUUCAAAGAUCUUUCAAUAUGAUCAAACAUUGCACAAGUUCAACGAGGAAGAACUAAAGGGGUCCUGAAAUUGGUUCAUGGAGACACUGAAGUGCAUCAUUCCAGGAACUGAAAGUGCCUAUCAGUCAAGACCACAUCCAUUCAAAAGCUUAUAGAGCAGAAGUAGGCUCCGACCACUUGUUCAGCUUGUGUCCGUUGCUGCUUUGCUCUGUUCCACCUUGCACUGGAUGGCUUGCACUGCAUUUAAAGGUAUGUUGCACACCACUAAAUGUUCUUCAGCCGUGGGCCUUUUAUAUACCCAAGGAGAUCUUAUGUGAUAUUGAAGGCAGAGGCAAGUUCACGAUUUCUUUGGUUGUCUCCUUACACAUGGAAAAUACAGUGCUCUGUUCAAAACACACUUAUGGCAAUUCACUAUUAGCUUAACAUCAUCUUCAAAAUUGGCAUCUAAAUGCAACUCAUGAAGGAUACAGUAUUCUUUUUCAUUGGCUAACAGUGAAAGUAAGAGAAUCACAGAAGGCCCCCAAGUUGAUAAGGGUAGAAUUCCUGUAUUGUCAAACUGAGAGCUACUUCCCUCUGGAAGUGUAGUGAAAUGAAUUAAACUACAAAGCAGCUCAUUAAUAAGAUUUUUUCAUUUAAAAACAAAACAUUAUUUUGCCAAUAGCUGCUUUUAUGGUAUAUCUUCUACUCACACUAAAUUUAUUGGGCUUCUGUUAAAGAGGGAAUCUGACUGUGUUGACAAGUUGUUUGAC
rnacentral:lncRNA from 1 species